rnacentral:rRNA from 1 species
GUAGAACGCUGAAGAGAGGAGCUUGCUCUUCUUGGAUGAGUUGCGAACGGGUGAGUAACGCGUAGGUAACCUGCCUUGUAGCGGGGGAUAACUAUUGGAAACGAUAGCUAAUACCGCAUAACAAUGGAUGACACAUGUCAUUUAUUUGAAAGGGGCAAUUGCUCCACUACAAGAUGGACCUGCGUUGUAUUAGCUAGUAGGUGAGGUAAUGGCUCACCUAGGCGACGAUACAUAGCCGACCUGAGAGGGUGAUCGGCCACACUGGGACUGAGACACGGCCCAGACUCCUACGGGAGGCAGCAGUAGGGAAUCUUCGGCAAUGGGGGCAACCCUGACCGAGCAACGCCGCGUGAGUGAAGAAGGUUUUCGGAUCGUAAAGCUCUGUUGUAAGUCAAGAACGGGUGUGAGAGUGGAAAGUUCACACUGUGACGGUAGCUUACCAGAAAGGGACGGCUAACUACGUGCCAGCAGCCGCGGUAAUACGUAGGUCCCGAGCGUUGUCCGGAUUUAUUGGGCGUAAAGCGAGCGCAGGCGGUUUGAUAAGUCUGAAGUUAAAGGCUGUGGCUCAACCAUAGUUCGCUUUGGAAACUGUCAAACUUGAGUGCAGAAGGGGAGAGUGGAAUUCCAUGUGUAGCGGUGAAAUGCGUAGAUAUAUGGAGGAACACCGGUGGCGAAAGCGGCUCUCUGGUCUGUAACUGACGCUGAGGCUCGAAAGCGUGGGGAGCGAACAGGAUUAGAUACCCUGGUAGUCCACGCCGUAAACGAUGAGUGCUAGGUGUUGGAUCCUUUCCGGGAUUCAGUGCCGCAGCUAACGCAUUAAGCACUCCGCCUGGGGAGUACGACCGCAAGGUUGAAACUCAAAGGAAUUGACGGGGGCCCGCACAAGCGGUGGAGC